CAAGUCGAGCGGGGAUUAUUUAGAAGCUUGCUUCUAAAUAACCUAGCGGCGGACGGGUGAGUAACACGUAGGCAACCUGCCCACAAGACAGGGAUAACUACCGGAAACGGUAGCUAAUACCCGAUACAUCCUUUUCCUGCAUGGGAGAAGGAGGAAAGGCGGAGCAAUCUGUCACUUGUGAGAUGGGCCUGCGGCGCAUUAGCUAGUUGGUGGGGUAAAGGCCUACCAAGGCGACGAUGCGUAGCCGACCUGAGAGGGUGAUCGGCCACACUGGGACUGAGACACGGCCCAGACUCCUACGGGAGGCAGCAGUAGGGAAUCUUCCGCAAUGGGCGAAAGCCUGACGGAGCAACGCCGCGUGAGUGAUGAAGGUUUUCGGAUCGUAAAGCUCUGUUGCCAGGGAAGAACGUCUUGUAGAGUAACUGCUACAAGAGUGACGGUACCUGAGAAGAAAGCCCCGGCUAACUACGUGCCAGCAGCCGCGGUUAAUACGUAGGGGGCAAGCGUUGUCCGGAAUUAUUGGGCGUAAAGCGCGCGCAGGCGGCUCUUUAAGUCUGGUGUUUAAUCCCGAGGCUCAACUUCGGGUCGCACUGGAAACUGGGGAGCUUGAGUGCAGAAGAGGAGAGUGGAAUUCCACGUGUAGCGGUGAAAUGCGUAGAGAUGUGGAGGAACACCAGUGGCGAAAGGCGACUCUCUGGGGGCUGU
rnacentral:rRNA from 1 species